rnacentral:rRNA from 1 species
AUUGAACGCUGGCGGCAUGCCUUACACAUGCAAGUCGAACGGUAACAGGUCUUCGGAUGCUGACGAGUGGCGAACGGGUGAGUAAUACAUCGGAACGUGCCCGAUCGUGGGGGAUAACGAGGCGAAAGCUUGCUAAAACCGCAUACGAACCACGGAUGAAAGCGGGGGAUCUUCGGGACUCGGGCGCACGGGGCGGGCGAUGGCAGAUUAGGUAGUUGGUGGGAUAAAAGCUUACCAAGCCGACGAUCUGUAGCUGGUCUGAGAGGAUGAUCAGCCACACUGGGACUGAGACACGGCCCAGACUCCUACGGGAGGCAGCAGUGGGGAAUUUUGGACAAUGGGCGAAAGCCUGAUCCAGCCAUGCCGCGUGCAGGAUGAAGGCCUUCGGGUUGUAAACUGCUUUUGUACGGAACGAAAAGCCUCUUUCUAAUAAAGAGGGGUCAUGACGGUACCGUAAGAAUAAGCACCGGCUAACUACGUG